CAAGGGCCCUCAUGGAAUGAGACCUUUGUUCUCCCCAGGAACACAAAGUUCACCACCCUUCACACAUUCCACAGAACCCUUUAACAGACUGCAUUAACAGACUGCAUAAGGCUACUUUACAUCUCCUAUAAGGACAAUGACUUUUAAGAUGAUGCACCAUAGUUUGGAAACUUGUUGCCUCUUUUAAUGUCAUUCCAUAUGUGUGUCAUGCUUAUAGCCACCAGGUCAUUAUGAUGCUUUUUGAUCGUUUAACACGGACCAUAGUGUUCGUGUGUGUAUCAAUAACACCAGGUAUGUCAUGUUUGGUAUGUGUGUGAUCACUAUUGAAUUUCCUAAGGGUUGGUAUAAUGUAAAGUUGAGUACGAUGUAUUACAUGCAAUGUUACCAAAUUCCUUAACAAAGUUCUAACUUAACCUUAUGCAAAGUUUGUAAAGCACAUAACUCAGAGACCAGAAUGUUAAUUAGUGUCAGAGGAGGAGAAUACAGUUUACACCCUGCCCCAAGAUCCUGCUGAUUGGAGCAAACACUUUGGGGUCAGCCCAACUGGAAAGGGUUAAAACCCCCUGACACAAAGGAAACUCUGAGUCUCAUCCUAUCCAUCCUUGAGAGAGUCCAAAUCAUCUUUGGAGUCUCAUCCACUACAUCUCUGCAAGAGUCUCCAUCCACAUCUGAAGGAAGUCUCAUCAACCAAGAGCUUUAGAAGUUCAUCCCGAGGAGAUAACGCUUGCUCCGAGACUCUGCAUCCAGACUGGUUCCUGCAAAGCCUCCAACUCUCGCCUUCGCACCGCUGUGAACCAUUCUUCAAAGUUUUGCAACCCGCCUAUGAGACUCUGCCGGGUUCGCGCCUCACUCUGUUUAUCUUCCUCAUUGGUCUUUCGAGACGCUACAUAAGGCCAACCAGACCGCCGACCAAUCAACAUCGCCGGAAACUCCUUCCAAACAACAACGCCACGAGGGAAUCCCUGGCAACACAAACGCAAACUACCAAGAUGGUUUCCUUCACAGCCAGUGGAAUGUUCCCAUUUGCUUGUUUCUUUGGCAAGUACCAAUUGUAAAGAAAUGCUUUAUCUUCCUUCCCAUCGUUGUCUUGUUGAGGAGUUGAGGAACUGUAUUCAAAGACGGGUGUCCAAAGAGUCAAGAACCAAUGAGAGCACCAAGAAGUACCAAGAAGCACUAUCUCUAUCCUAUCCCUUUUAUCAAAUGUUAAUGCCAUUUUUCACCUGUAAGGAAACAAUAAAUACAAAAGUAAGUGGAAAGAAAGAAAGAAAGAAAGAAAACAAACUCACAUAUAUGUAUGUGAUCUGAGUUCAAAGCUUGGUGGAACCUGCAAAGACUACAUUCUCUUCACAUAUAACUGUGUUGCCUCCCAGAACAACACCAGUUUUUAUCUGCAGGCCAUUUGGCCUAUCAAUAACUCUCACUGCCACUCCUACAGCAUGUACAACUGACUCUGUCCAGUGAGCCUUUUGCAUGUAAAGAUAAAACAUAUUGUAUCACUGUUUAUAAUUGCAUUAUAUUUAUAUUUAUACAGUCUGACACCGAAUGUCUCUAUUAUUGUACAAGUGCACUACAGCCUACCUAUCUCACAUUAGUACUUGUAACAUAUUUCAUUUCAUACUUGUAUUAUAUCACACUCCACCUCUACACCUCACACCACAGUGUAAUUUCCAACCAUUUUAUAACACAAUCUGUACAGUAUCGAUGGUUUAUUUGAAGAAAUGCAGAGGAAGAAUUUCAUUGUACAGUGUAACUGCCUGUUUUUAUUGUGCAUAUAGCAAUAAACUCUUGAAUCUUGACUUUUCGGACACCCUGUAAUAUUUGACUUUUUUGUCCUGUUUAACUUUGUCGUGGAAUGUACACAUGACCUACUCUUUGACCGGGCACUGCGGAGGCAAGUCCAUUCAACAAGUCAAUUAACUUAUACUGUGUGAAAACUUGUCAACAGGCAUGCAGGAAGUCCUUUAAGCAGGGGCUGCCCAUUUCCCACUGGUGUGCUUGUGAGAAAGAAAUUGCUUUUUUGCUAUUCGCUGGGGUGCAUUUUAAAAGGAUAUUUCAAAGAAUCUGACAACUUUAAAACAAAUGUGGUUUGCAUUGAAAGGGAAGCAUUGAUACUAAUACUGGUAUUGUAACAGUAUUACUAUUGGCCAUAUACUGCGCUCAAUAUGCGCCAAUUUCACUGUCUCAUACCAGGUGAUGCUACUGUGGAUAUAAAAAAAUUCUACACACCCCUGUUAAAAAAAAAUCACAUUCAAACUCAUAUUCAAAAGUAAUUAUCAUAUACCUGUCAUCAGUGAAGUGAUUCUGAUUAACCCCAAUUAAAGAUCAGCUGUUUACGUAGGAUUUUCAUGACUGGUCAUGGUCCACUAAGAACUUACAAAGCAUGUACAGCCUCUCAUUGUCAAAAGGUAUGGACCAGGAAAGGGGCACAAAAGAAUUUCUAAAAUGAUGUACCAUGGAACACCGUGAAGGUCAUCAUCAACAAGUGGAGAAAAUGGGGCAUCACAGUGACAUUACCAAGUAUAGGACAUUUGUCCAAAAUUGAUGAAAGAACAAGAAGAAAACUUAUCAGGAAGGCUGCCAAAAGACCUAUGACAACAUUAAAGGAGCACCAGGAACAUCUAGCAUGUACUGGUCACUCCCGGCAUGUGACAACAUUCUCUCACAUUCUCACAUGUCUGGGCUAUGGGGUAGGAAAGGGAUAAAUGGAAGCCCUUUCGCAUGAAAGAAACAUGCAAGCCUGCCUAAACCACGUGGCAAUAUGUGUUAUACUCUGAUGAGACCAAGGUAGAACUUUUUGGGCAGAAUGUGUAGAUCUUUAUAUCCACUGUAUGUGAUCCUAGGGUAUCUUGCCAUUCUAAUGAAGAGAGGACACAAAAUGAAAUAUGUCCAGAAUAAUCUGGACAUAUUUCAUGAUUAA